CAUAUACUCCCUCCGUCCAAAAAUACUUGUCAUCAAAAUAGAUAAAAAGGGAUGUAUUUAGAACUAAUAUACGUCUAGAUACAUCUCCUUUUAUUCAUUUUGAUGACAAGUAUUUCCGGACGGAGGGAAUAUGUG
rfam:Triticum aestivum genome assembly, contig: Triticum_aestivum_CS42_TGACv1_scaffold_019305_1AS